rnacentral:rRNA from 1 species
AGAGUUUGAUCAUGGCUCAGAACGAACGCUGGCGGCGUGGAUAAGACAUGCAAGUCGAACGGGAUAUUCUGUGUAGCAAUACACAGGAUGUUCAGUGGCGUAAGGGCGCGUAACACGUGGGCAAUCUGCCUUGAAGUGGGGGAUAGCUCGCCGAAAGGCGAAUUAAUACCGCAUGUGGUCAGCGAAGGAUUCUUCGCGACACUAAAGCCGGGGCAACCUGGCGCUUCUUGAUGAGCCCGCGGCCUAUCAGCUAGUUGGUGAGGUAACGGCUCACCAAGGCUAUGACGGGUAGCUGGUCUGAGAGGACGACCAGCCACACUGGAACUGAGACACGGUCCAGACACCUACGGGUGGCAGCAGUCGAGAAUUUUUCUCAAUGGGGGAAACCCUGAAGGAGCGACGCCGCGUGGAGGAUGAAGGUCUUCGGAUUGUAAACUCCUGUCAUUGGGGAACAAAGCCGCCGGUUAACUGCCGGUUGGACUGAUAGUACCCGAAGAGGAAGAGACGGCUAACUCUGUGCCAGCAGCCGCGGUAAUACAGAGGUCUCAAGCGUUGUUCGGAUUCAUUGGGCGUAAAGGGUGCGUAGGCGGUGGAGCAAGUCAGGUGUGAAAUCCCGGAGCUCAACUCCGGAACUGCACUUGAUACUGCUUCGCUAGAGUACUGGAGAGGAGACUGGAAUUUACGGUGUAGCAGUGAAAUGCGUAGAGAUCGUAAGGAAGACCAGUGGCGAAGGCGAGUCUCUGGACAGUUACUGACGCUGAGGCACGAAGGCCAGGGGAGCAAACGGGAUUAGAUACCCCAGUAGUCC